CAACCCUCAGCUAACCGCUGGUUUUGAACCGGAACGGGUAACUCCGCACCGGUUUUAAAGUUGUAAGCUCUGCUGGCUGCUCUGCCAAACCAGAACAUAGUAAACCCUACUUGUUCAAAAGGUGAAGCUAAGCGGUACGGCCUGAACAAAACCUACCCAUUUUUUAAG
rnacentral:misc_RNA from 1 species